GACGAACGCUGGCGGCGUGCCUAAUACAUGCAAGUAGAACGCACAGUUUAUACCGUAGCUUGCUACACCAUAGACUGUGAGUUGCGAACGGGUGAGUAACGCGUAGGUAACCUGCCUGGUAGCGGGGGAUAACUAUUGGAAACGAUAGCUAAUACCGCAUAAUAUUAAUUAUUGCAUGAUAAUUAAUUGAAAGGUGCAAUUGCACCACUACCAGAUGGACCUGCGUUGUAUUAGCUAGUAGGUGGGGUAACGGCUCACCUAGGCGACGAUACAUAGCCGACCUGAGAGGGUGAUCGGCCACACUGGGACUGAGACACGGCCCAGACUCCUACGGGAGGCAGCAGUAGGGAAUCUUCGGCAAUGGACGAAAGUCUGACCGAGCAACGCCGCGUGAGUGAAGAAGGUUUUCGGAUCGUAAAGCCCUGUUGUAAGAGAAGAACGGGUGUGAGAGUGGAAAGUUCACACUGUGACGGUAUCUUAACAGAAAGGGACGGCUAACUACGUG
rnacentral:rRNA from 1 species